rnacentral:misc_RNA from 1 species
GAUGAAGAACGCAGCGAAAUGCGAUAAGUAAUGUGUAUUGCAGAAUUCAGUGAAUCAUCGAAUCUUUGAACGCACAUUGCGCCCGCCAGUAUUCUGGCGGGCAUGCCUGUUCGAGCGUCAUUUCAACCAUCAAGCCCCCGGCUUGUGUUGGGGACCUGCGGCUGCCGCAGGCCCUGAAAAGCAGUGGCGGGCUCGCUGUCACACCGAGCGUAGUAGCAUACAUCUCGCUCUGGGCGUGCUGCGGGUUCCGGCCGUUAAACCACCUUCAUAACCCAAGGUUGACCUCGGAUCAGGUAGGAAGACCCGCUGAACUUAAGAAUAUCAAUAAGCGGAGGA